CGCGAAUGGCUCAUUACAACAGCCAACAAAUCUACUUGAUCUUGACACAAUCCUACUUGGAUAACUGUGGUAAUUCUAGAGCUAAUACAUGCAUUAAAGCUCUGACCUUCGGGGAAGAGUGCAUUUAUUAGAACAAAACCAAGCGGCUUCGGCUGUUUUCGGUUGACUCAUAGUAACUGAGCUGAUCGCAUGGUCUUGCACCGGCGACGUGUCUUUCGAGUAUCUGCCGUAUCAACUUUCGAUGGUAGUGUAUCUGACUACCAUGGUGAUCACGCGUAACGGAGAAUAAGGGUUCGACUCCGGAGAGUUCGCCUGAGAAAUCGCGAACACAUCUAAGGAAGGCAGCAGGCGCGAAAAUUACCCACUCUCAGCACGAGGAGGUAGUGACGAAAAAUAACGAGACCGUUCUCUUAUGAGGCCGGUCAUCGGAAUGGGUACAAUUUAAACCCUUUAACGAGGAUCAAUGAGAGGGCAAGUCUGGUGCCAGCAGCCGCGGUAAUUCCAGCU
rnacentral:rRNA from 1 species